rnacentral:SRP_RNA from 1 species
UUGCUCUGUAACCUUCGGGGGCUGUACAAGCUUAGCGAUGGCACCCUGAAUCGGUGAGGGGGGUCCCGCUGCGUUGACGUGGUGCCCUGCUUGGCUGUGUGUCGGUGCACUCGGGCCCCUGCAGAGGGGCUUUGGGGGCGCCGUUGAAGUUGGGGGAACGGGUCCAGACCGGAGACGGGGCAGCCCACCUCGCGCACGCCCGCCGUUGCGGAAUCACACCGCAGAGCAUGUCGGCCCUCGAGCCCUCAGGG